UGCAGGUCUUGUGGAAACAUUUCAUUUUCAUUCCACAAGAUCCUCUUAGGCCUUCAUGACAAUUCCCAGCCUGGAGAACUGCUCAUGGAGAAGGGAAGACACAGAGGAUCCUGCAAACGCUUCCUGUGAAUGAGAACGUCCUGCUGAGCAGCAGCCGGAUCCAGCGCCCACAGAAGGCAGUGGAAGAGCUCCGACUGAUGACAGUGGAUGUUGGAUGAAUUCCCACCUCAUCCUCGUGUUUAAAUGAUGAAAAUUGAGCUGCUGGGUUCUGGUUUCUCUUGAAGUCUUCUCUUAGGAAUAACGCCCAUCCUGACUGAAAAUCUUUCCAGCUCUCCAGACACAACCUCAAG
rnacentral:lncRNA from 1 species